AACGUAGGACGCAAGCGUUAUCCGGAAUCACUGGGCGUAAAGCGCACGUAGGCGGGUCGUUAAGUCGGGGGUGAAAUCCUGGAGCUCAACUCCAGAACUGCCUUCGAUACUGGCGACCUUGAGUCCGGGAGAGGUGAGUGGAACUCCGAGUGUAGAGGUGAAAUUCGUAGAUAUUCGGAAGAACACCUGCGGCGAAGGCGGGUAGCUGGGCCGACACUGACGCUGAGGCGCGAAAGCCCAGGGGAGCGAACAGG
rnacentral:rRNA from 1 species